GUCCUUUUGAUAAUUUAUUUAAGGUCUAACCCUGCCCAAUGAAUAAUUGAAUGCCCGCGGUAUUUUAACUGUGCUAAGGUAGCAUAAUCAUUUGUCUUUUAAUUGAAGGCUGGAAUGAAAGGUUGGACGAAACAUCGAUUUUCUUUAAUUUAAUAGUUGAAUUUAAUUUUUUAGUUAAAAAGCUAAAAUUUUUUUAGGGGACGAGAAGACCCUAUAGAUCUUUAUAAAGUAAAUAUUUAUUAAUUUGGGCGUUGAAUAUAAUUGAAUAUGAAGUUUUAUUUGAUUGGGGCGAUUCUAGAAUUUAAUAAACUUCUGGUUUUAUUUUUCAUUAAUUAAUGUUUUUUUGAUCCGUUAUUAGUGAUUAAAAGAUUAAGUUACCUUAGGGAUAACAGCGUAAUUUUUUCAGAGAGUUCAUAUUAAUGGAAAAGUUUGCGACCUCGAUGUUGGAUUAAAAUAAGUGUUUGGUGCAGUAGCUAAAUUACUAGGUCUGUUCGACCUUUAAAUUUUU
rnacentral:rRNA from 1 species